ACGCUGGCGGCACGCCUAACACAUGCAAGUCGAACGAAGUAGCAAUACUUAGUGGCAGACGGGUGAGUAACAUGUAGGUAUCUGCCCUUUGGCCUGGAAUAACACGAGGAAACUUGUGCUAAUACCGGAUAAGUCUUUACGGAGAAAGCUUUAUGCACCAUUGGAUGAGCCUGCACUUGAUUAGUUUGUUGGUGGGGUAAUGGCCUACCAAGACUGUGAUCAAUAGCUGAUUUGAGAGGAUGAUCAGCCACAUUGGGACUGAGACACGGCCCAAACUCCUACGGGAGGCAGCAGUGGGGAAUCUUGCAUAAUGGAGGAAACUCUGAUGCAGCGAUGCCGCGUGAGUGAAGAAGGCCUUUGGGUUGUAAAGCUCUUUCGUCGGGGAAGAAAAUGACUGUACCCGAAUAAGAAGGUCCGGCUAACUUCGUGCCAGCAGCCGCGGUAAUACGAAGGGACCUAGCGUAGUUCGGAAUUACUGGGCUGAAAGAGUUCGUGUUGGUUGAAAAAGUUGGUGGUGAAAUCCCAGAGCUUAACUCUGGAACUGCCAUCAAAACUUUUCAGCUAGAGUAUGAUAGAGGAAAGCAGAAUUUCUAGUGUAGAGGUGAAAUUCGUAGAUAUUAGAAAGAAUACCAAUUGCGAAGGCAGCUUUCUGGAUCAUAACUGACACUGAGGAACGAAAGCAUGGGUAGCGAAGAGGAUUAGAUACCCUCGUAGUCCAUGCCGUAAACGAUGUGUGUUAGACGUUGGAAAUUAAUUUUCAGUGUCGCAGCGAAAGCGAUAAACACACCGCCUGGGGAGUACGACCGCAAGGUUAAAACUCAAAUGAAUUGACGGGGACCCGCACAAGUAGUGGAGCAUGUGGUUUAAUUCGAAGAUACGCGCAGAACCUUACCAACACUUGACAUGUUCGUCGCGACUUUAAGAGAUUAAAGUUUUCGGUUCGGCCGGACGAAACACAGGUGCUGCAUGGCUGUCGUCAGCUCGUGUCGUGAGAUGUUGGGUUAAGUCCCGCAACGAGCGCAACCCUCACUUUUAGUUGCCAUCAUUAAGUUGGGCACUCUGAAAGAACUGCCAGUGAUAAGCUGGAGGAAGGUGGGGAUGACGUCAAGUCCUCAUGGCCCUUACGUGUUGGGCUACACACGUGCUACAAUGGUAUCUACAACAGGAAGCAAAACCGCGAGGUUAAGCAAAUCCUUAAAAGAUACCUCAGUUCGGAUUGCACUCUGCAACUCGAGUGCAUGAAGCUGGAAUUACUAGUAAUCGUGGAUCAGCGUGCCACGGUGAAUGCGUUCCCGGGUCUUGUACACACCGCCCGUCACACCAUGGGAGUUGGUUCUACCUUAAGGCAAGGUUUAAAACCCUUGACCACGGUAUAGUCAGCGACUGGGGUG
rnacentral:rRNA from 1 species